rnacentral:rRNA from 1 species
AUCAACUUUCGAUUGGUAGGAUAGAGGCCUACCAUGGUGGUAACGGGUAACGGGGUGUUAGGGCACGACACCGGAGAGGGAGCCUGAGAAACGGCUACCACAUCCAAGGAUGGCAACAGGCGCGCAAAUUACCCAAUCCCGACACGGGGAGGUAGUGACAAUAAAUAACAAUACGGGGUUCCUUCGGAUCUCGUAAUUGGAAUGAGUACAAUUUAAAUCUCUUAACGAGGAACAAUUGGAGGGCAAGUCUGGUGCCAGCAGCCGCGGUAAUUCCAGCUCCAAUAGCGUAUAUUAAAGUUGUUGCAGUUAAAAAGCUCGUAGUUGAAUUUCGGGAUCAAUAUGUUGGUCGUGCCUUGGUACGUACUGGCGUCAUUGGUUUCUACCUUCUGAAGAACCUCGAUGUCAUUAAUUUGGUGUCUUGGGGAAUCAUGACUGUUACUUUGAAAAAAUUAGAGUGUUUAAAGCAGGCUCACGCUUGAAUACAUUAGCAUGGAAUAAUGAAAUAGGACGUUUGAUUCUAUUUUGUUGGUUUCUAGGAUCGACGUAAUGAUUAAUAGGGAUAGUUGGGGGCAUUAGUAUUCAAUUGUCAGAGGUGAAAUUCUUGGAUUUAUUGAAGACUAACUACUGCGAAAGCAUUUGCCAAGGAUGUUUUCAUUAAUCAAGAACGAAAGUUAGGGGAUCGAAGACGAUCAGAUACCGUCGUAGUCUUAACCAUAAACUAUGCCGACUAGGGAUCGGAUGAUGUUAAUUUUUUAAUGACUCGUUCGGCGCCUUACGGGAAACCAAAGUGUUUGGGUUC